CACAGGGCCCCGGAAGCUCGUGUCCGGUCAGCUUUACGGAUUGGAGGCUGGAGAUCCGAGACCAGGGUGCCAGCAUGGUCGGGUUCUGGUGAGAGCCCUCUUCUGGUUGCAGACUGUAGACUUCUCAUUGCAUCCUCUCAUGUGGUAGAAGUAAAUAGGACCUCACAAUGCACCUCUUACCCAGAGAGGCACGAUGAUUGUCUAAGAACACAGGCAAGCUGGCGGAGGCUGUCGGAUGGCGACCUGUGCUCUGGGGCUUUCCUGGGCUUCACUACAGGGGGGAAGAGCGACAUCCAGUGACCCUGAGCUCAGGGACCAAGGUAUGUGGCUUGAAAUCCUAUCUGACAAAAACCAUUUAAACACGUACUGAGUUCAAGGGGAGAGAACAGAGGAAUGAAGGAUGCAAGAACCUAGGAAUCUCGCGGGCCCCACACCAUCCACUGGCCCCCAAGAAGGUGGCACCAGGAACACGGGGUCCACAGCAGGGAACAGCAGCAGGAGCUUGGGAAACCCUUUGAAAAGGGCAGGUAUUCAGCCUACAAGAAGCUGGAGAGCCAUACGACUCCACCUGAACAAGCACCUUUGGUUCAAGAACCAGUGGGCCUAAUGCUCUCCACAGCAGGAACAGCAACAACCACAGCAAUACCUGGGGCACCCAGGCCUCCUCUCACCCAAGACCCUUUCAGGGACCUUCUCCCACCCCCACGACAUCUAGGCACCAAUGAGGGGCGGACUCUGCAGACAGGAGAAGCUCUAGCACUAGGAUGUUACUGAAUUUGUAGGAGAGUCUGAUCCUGAAAUGUCCUGCAGAUUCCGUGGGGAACCCAGACAGGACCGAGGCCGCAGUCUGCAAGCUUCACUGAUGGCACUCUCUGAAGCUGUGGCUUGACUAUCUUCACUCUGUUUACUAUUCCAUAGCGUGAUCGGCACACUAUUUUUUUAAUCCAGUCCACUGUUCACGGUCAUUUGGCUGUUUUCACUUUGCAACCAUGCCAAAUUAUGCUGUGAAUGAUCCCAUCCUCGUCAUUGGGUUUGUGCCCGCAUUGUCGUUGAUUCCUAGC
rnacentral:lncRNA from 1 species